CCAUAUUCCUUCUCCUCCUUUAUUUCCUCCUCAUAUCUUCCUUUCUUUCAUUUCCUUUUUGGUCGCGAGCCACCACGACACCACCUUGCUGCCACCUCCUUUCCCUCUUGUUUCUACUUUUGUUAUAGGAGGAAUUUCGGGUUCAAAAUUAGGAGGUCCGUACUUGUGUGCAAGGAUCAAGAUAGGUGAUGGCGAUCGGACAACGUGAACUAUAUGCUGCAUUGGAUAUGAUGGGCGGUGAUAACCUAGUUUAACUUAAUAAAUAUAGCAUUAGUAAUGUAGUUAUUUUGAAAGUGUAUCAAACUAUUAUUAUUACUAUUAUUAUUAAUAAAAGAUAAGUAUUGUUUUCCGCUGCAAAACUCUGUUAAGCCCUACGUAAUCACGUGGCGGUAAUACUCCCAUGUUACUCCCUAAAGUUGGAUUAGCAUUGUUAAAUAUUAGAGAGUAAUUUGGGAGUGUUACAGCAGAGGCUCUUGGGACCGAUCGAUUCUCCAUAUCCGCCCUGCUUAUCUCUAAAAAAAAAUAGUAAUUAAACAACUCUAGAUGAUUUUACAAAAAACUCUAGAAACAUGGUAGGCUCUCAUACCUCAUUAUA